GAUGAACGCUGGCGGCGUGCCUAAUACAUGCAAGUCGAGCGAACGGACGAGAAGCUUGCUUCUCUGAUGUUAGCGGCGGACGGGUGAGUAACACGUGGAUAACCUACCUAUAAGACUGGGAUAACUUCGGGAAACCGGCGCUAAUACCGGAUAAUAUUUUCAACCGCAUGGUUCAAAAGUGAAAGACGGUCUUGCUGUCACUUAUAGAUGGACCCGCGCUGCAUUAGCUAGUUGGUAAGGUAACGGCUUACCAAGGCAACGAUGCAUAGCCGACCUGAAAGGGUGAUCGGCCACACUGGAACUGAGACACGGUCCAGACUCCUACGGGAGGCAGCAGUAGGGAAUCGUCCGCAAUGGGCGAAAGCCUGACGGAGCAACGCCGCGUGAGUGAUGAAGGUCUUCGGAUCGUAAAACUCUGUUAUUAGGGAAGAACAUAUGUGUAAGUAACUGUGCACAUCUUGACGGUACCUAAUCAGAAAGCCACGGCUAACUACGUG
rnacentral:rRNA from 1 species